rnacentral:lncRNA from 1 species
AUGCUGGGCUAAGACAAGGGGCAGGGGCAGAGGCAGAGAGAGAGAGAGGAGCCACCCUGAGAAGGAAGAGACCAGCUGGGCUCUAAGAUAGGGAGACCCUUUCUACAUUGGUGCCUUGACAUGUGACUCUUUUGUCACUUCGUGCUCCAGAAUCACCCCCUGAUGAACUGCUAUCACUUUCAAAUGACCUUGUCUUUUCUCAGGCCCUCCGAACUGAUCAUCUCUUCCUUCUAAUACAAGAGGAUCUUCCCUGGAAGACCACUGCACACCUUCUAGUAACACUGGGACCCUGGUUGCAUCUUUAGAAAAAUCUCAGCACAUCUCUGGGCAAUGAAAUCAUUCUUUUGGGACCUGACACAUGAACUGAAGUGUAAUUGGCAUUCUUUAUGGAAGGGGCAUGGAUUUAAAUUGUCAUAAUAUUCUACUUCGAAGAACACCAAUAGACAGAAGCAAGAUGACUAAUUUUUAAUGCUAAAGUAUGCAAAACCUGCCACUUCACUGGCAAGCCAUGAAUUAUUCAUAAAUAUAGACUUGG